rnacentral:snRNA from 1 species
UGUUGGAUUGUUCACCCACCAAU